rnacentral:precursor_RNA from 1 species
AUCGAUCAGGACGUGACAAAGUACAACACAUAGAAAUUAGUACAAUCCGAGGAUGCUGCUGCAUCCCAUGGUAGUACAAGCAACACCGUUAGGCACGGUGCAGAUGCAGUAGUACAAAAGGAGGAGGGUGACCUGUCUGAAAAGCAACACACACACACACAAAUGCAGUGCAGAUGCAGCUACACACGCACAAGCAUGGAAGCUGCCUAGCCAAGUGAUGCAUCCUGUUCCUGGGAUUAGAGAUUUAGAGCUAGGAAUAUUGGCAGAUUCAUGAUGAGAUCGAUGGGUGAUGGAAGA